GUGUGUGUGUGUGUGUGUGUGUGUGUGUGUGUGUGUGUGUGUGUGUGUGUGUGUGUGUGUGUGUGUGUGUGUAGAUGUAUUACUGUAUACGUAAGAGUAAAAAAAUAAGAUACAUUGAAUAAAUUUUAAGUUUUGAAAUAUUUUCUUACAAAUUGUUGAGUUAUAAAGUAUCAACUAAGCGAGGGCAUUGU